GCAAAUAGCAAAAGUAAGCAAAAUGUUGCAGAAGAGAUUAACAUUUGAAUCAGUGGACUGGGAGAGGAAGACCCACCCUCAGGAAGACCCACCCACAUUGUGAGUCUUGGCACCAUCCAAUUGGCUGCCAGUGAGGCUAGAAAAGAGCAGGCAGAAGAAGAUGGAAGAAGCUGACUUGCUGAGUCUUCUGGCCUUCAUCUUUCUCCCAUGCUGGAUGCUUCCUGCCCUCGAACAUCAGACUCCAAGUUCUUCAGCUUUUGGACUCUUGGACUUACACCAGUGGUUUGCCAGGGACAUUUAGGCCUUCAGCCACAGACUGAAGGCUGCACUCUCGGCUUCCCUAAUUUUGAGGUUUUGGGACUUGGACUGAGCCACUAGUGGCUUCCUUGCUCCUCAACUUGCAGAUGGUCUAUUGUGGGACUUCAUUUUGUGGGACUUCACUUUGUGAUCGUGUGAGGCAAUUGUCCUUAAUAAAGUCCCUUUCAUAUAUACAUCUACGCUAUUAGUUCUGUCCCUCUAGAGAACUCUGACUAAUACACUCCUUGAGGAGCAGAACCGUUCAAUAAACGAUUGCUGUGUAAC
rnacentral:lncRNA from 10 species